rnacentral:rRNA from 1 species
GGAGGGUGCGAGCGUUGUCCGGAAUCACUGGGCGUAAAGGGCGCGUAGGUGGCUCAUUAAGUGGUCGGUGAAAUCCCGGGGCUCAACUCCGGGGCUGCCGGUCAGACUGGUGGGCUAGAGCACGGUAGGGGCAGAUGGAAUUCCCGGUGUAGCGGUGGAAUGCGUAGAUAUCGGGAAGAACACCAGUGGCGAAGGCGUUCUGCUGGGCCGUUGCUGACACUGAGGCGCGACAGCGUGGGGAGCAAACAGGAUUAGAUACCCUGGUAGUCCACGCCGUAAACGAUGGGCACUAGGCGUCGGGGGGAGCGACCCUCCCGGUGCCGUCGCUAACGCAGUAAGUGCCCCGCCUGGGGAGUACGGCCGCAAGGSKG